GAUGAACGCUAGCGGCAGGCUUAACACAUGCAAGUCGAGGGGUAUGCAUCUUCGGAUGCAGAGACCGGCGCACGGGUGAGUAACGCGUGGGCAACCUGCCCUUCAGACGGGGACAACAUUCCGAAAGGAGUGCUAAUACCGGAUACGACCUUUGAACCGCAUGGUUUAAAGAAGAAAGGUGGCCUCUAUUUAUAAGCUACCGCUGAAGGAUGGGCCUGCGUCUGAUUAGCUAGUUGGUGGGGUAAAGGCCUACCAAGGCGACGAUCAGUAGCCGGUCUGAGAGGAUGAACGGCCACACUGGGACUGAGAAACGGCCCAGACUCCGACGGGAGGCAGCAGUGGGGAAUCUUCCGCAAUGGGCGAAAGCCUGACGGAGCAACGCCGCGUGAGUGAAGAAGGUCUUCGGAUUGUAAAGCUCUGUUUAAAGGGACGAAUGGUCAGAUUGUGAAUAAUGAUUUGGCAUGACGGUACCCUUGGAGGAAGCCACGGCUAACUACGUGCCAGCCGCCGCCGUAAGAC
rnacentral:rRNA from 1 species